CAUUGUACAAGUAUUUUAGAAUGCGCGCCAAAUAUUUGGAGAUUUCAUAUGUUGGAGACCCAAUUGAACUAUUUAUUGGUCUAAGAGGAACUACCGUGUCUGCUUCUAUUGUAAAAUGAUCAUUUUGCUCAACUAAAGGAACCUUAUGUAUCUUUGGCAAACCGUAAAACGCCGCCGGGUAGGAAUCAAAUGGUCUCAGUUUUUUGUACUCAUUAUCUGUUAAAAAACCAGUGUCUUUCAAUUUUAAUAAACGUU